rnacentral:rRNA from 1 species
AGAUUGAACGCUGGCGGCAGGCCUAACACAUGCAAGUCGAGCGGCAGCACGGGUACUUGUACCUGGUGGCGAGCGGCGGACGGGUGAGUAAUGCCUAGGAAUCUGCCUGAUAGUGGGGGAUAACGCUCGGAAACGGACGCUAAUACCGCAUACGUCCUACGGGAGAAAGCGAGGGGACCUUCGGGCCUUGCGCUAUCAGAUGAGCCUAGGUCGAUUAGCUAGUUGGUGGGUAAUGGCUCACAAGGCGCGAUCCGUAACUGGUCUGAGAGGAUGAUCAGUCACACGUGGAACUGAGACACGGGCCCAGACCUCCGUACGGGAGGCACGCGUAGUAGGGGUAA